rnacentral:rRNA from 1 species
GCAAGUCGAGCGAACCGACGGGAGCUUGCUCCCUUAGGUUAGCGGCGGACGGGUGAGUAACACGUGGGUAACCUGCCUGUAAGACUGGGAUAACUCCGGGAAACCGGGGCUAAUACCGGAUGCUUGAUUGAACCGCAUGGUUCAAUCAUAAAAGGCGGCUUCGGCUGCCGUUUACAGAUGGACCCGCGGCGCAUUAGCUAGUUGGUGAGGUAACGGCUCACCAAGGCGACGAUGCGUAGCCGACCUGAGAGGGUGAUCGGCCACACUGGGACUGAGACACGGCCCAGACUCCUACGGGAGGCAGCAGUAGGGAAUCUUCCGCAAUGGACGAAAGUCUGACGGAGCAACGCCGCGUGAGUGAUGAAGGUUUUCGGAUCGUAAAGCUCUGUUGUUAGGGAAGAACAAGUACCGUUCGAAUAGGGCGGUACCUUGACGGUACCUAACCAGAAAGCCACGGCUAACUACGUGCCAGCAGCCGCGGUAAUACGUAGGUGGCAAGCGUUGUCCGGAAUUAUUGGGCGUAAAGCGCGCGCAGGCGGUUUCUUAAGUCUGAUGUGAAAGCCCCCGGCUCAACCGGGGAGGGUCAUUGGAAACUGGGGAACUUGAGUGCAGAAGAGGAGAGUGGAAUUCCACGUGUAGCGGUGAAAUGCGUAGAGAUGUGGAGGAACACCAGUGGCGAAGGCGACUCUCUGGUCUGUAACUGACGC